UGGCCAUGAAGCGAGCACAAAUCGAAUUAUUCUUUCGCCUUUUACUAAAGAAUUCUGUGUGCGAUGCAAUUAGUGGCAUACUCCAGGGAUUCUUUCUUUUUGAGUACCCCAACAAA